rnacentral:tRNA from 1 species
GCUCUUGUAGCUCAGUUGUUUAGAGCACCCGUUUAGUAAGUGGGAGGUCUUGAGUUGAACUCUCAACAAGAGCA